rnacentral:lncRNA from 1 species
CCCCGUUAAGGCCCUACGUCCUCGUCAGUCCAAUCACACACACAGCCCAAGAUCACCAGGCGAUGUGAGACUCGUCUCGCUAGCCCGUCAUCCAGACCCUGGCUUAGCCGAAACUCGCCACACAUGUCCAGCUGGUGAACCGGCUCUGAUACCAAAUGUAACGACCCAGCCCACUAGCAACAAUAACUCGUUGGGCCCAACAACCGGCCCAAAAUGCUUAAGCCCAGUUAUUAUUACUAGUGUCUAAGUCUCUUAUAAACCCAAUGACAAUCCCAUUCCCAUUCGAUGUGGGACUAUUGGGGUGUCACAUUUAUAAAAUUCUUAGUAAUGUAAUUUUAUUGUUUAUAUUCUAUUCUUGUUACUUAAAUAAUUUCGGGAGCGAGCCAAUGCAUUGCGGCGGUUAAAGUAAGAAUAACCUGUUUCCGCCAAUCAAAAUGCCUAAAAAGUUGAGGUGUUCUUUUCUAAAUUAAAAAAUUGAGGAUAAAUCCUCAAUGCUUGAACUUGUUAGUAAGGCUUCAUUUGAGAUUGCGGGAAAAUUGCAUUACGUGCAGUGAAAAAGUAUAAUAAAAAAAUAUCAUUUUUUUUUUUUGUACAUAAUAUUACGUUCCGCAUAUUGUGAUGAAUUAGUUAUAAUAUAUUUUUUGCGGUCCCAUCGAAGAAUGUAGGAGCAUAACCCUAUAUAUUUUUUUCCUAACUCUAUUUUAUCUAACAACGUCAGAUAGAUCUCAAUACCAAACUAAGUCUAAAUAGUUUAAAUUCAAAAAAUGAUGGUGAAAAUGUAGGAAGUG